rnacentral:rRNA from 1 species
UACAGGGGGUGCAAACGUUGCUCGGAAUUAUUGGGCGUAAAGCGCGCGUAGGCGGCUACUUAAGUCGGAUGUGAAAGCCCUUGGCUCAACUGAGGAAGUGCACCCGAAACUGAGUGGCUUGAGUACGAAAGAGGGUCGCGGAAUUCCCGGUGUAGAGGUGAAAUUCGUAGAUAUCGGGAGGAACACCGGUGGCGAAGGCGGCGACCUGGGUCGGAUACUGACGCUGAGGCGCGAAA